UCCGUCAUUUCCUGUCUUGCAUUCAAAACGGUCGGAGUUCCCAGGAGGUUCGGACAUUAAGCUCGAAGGAAAGUGCUUUGAACACUCUUCCGAACCUCGGAGCUGUUUUGAAUGCGGCAAUGCUUUAACAAAAGAAGCACCACGGAAUAUUGGUAUCCGAGGCGUUUUGAACACACCAAAAGUUAUUUCCUGGAGAGAACUCAUCAUGGCUCGCAAACGAGCGAAGGAGGGCAGUUGCUCAGUGUUUGGAUGUACGAAUGAGCACAAAAGUAUAUUUUUAGUUCCUUCAUCCGAGCCUCUAAAGAACCAGUGGGUUGAUUUUAUUUUCUCUGGAAAUGCUGCGCGAGUCUGCGCCAAACAUUUCACCGAAGACUGCUUCCUCAACUUGGGCCAAUACAGAGCUGGACUUGCUCAACGUCUGAGAAUUGAUUCUAGAUCAGUACCAACUCUCCUCGGCUCAGCUACAAACCGCAGACAAGCCAGCUCAUCAAGUGCUUCCAUUCAGCAGCUUCUCUCAAGGGAUGUUGCCUGCCAGACAGACCACCUGGAAACGCCUACUGUAGGCACACAGCUAUCCUUAAACACUUUGCAGUCCCACUUUAAAAGUGAAGAAUACUGCGAUGCCUUUGGAGACCGUAGCACUGAGCGCAACGCCACCUCAGAGAUUCUGGGUGUG